UGGGGAAUUUUGGACAAUGGGCGCAAGCCUGAUCCAGCCAUGCCGCGUGCGGGAAGAAGGCCUUCGGGUUGUAAACCGCUUUUGUCAGGGAAGAAAUCUUCUGAGUUAAUACCUCGGGGAGGAUGACGGUACCUGAAGAAUAAGCACCGGCUAACUACGUGCCAGCAGCCGCGGUAAUACGUAGGGUGCAAGCGUUAAUCGGAAUUACUGGGCGUAAAGCGUGCGCAAGGCGGUUUUGUAAGACAGAGGUGAAAUCCCCGGGCUCAACCUGGGAACUGCCUUUGUGACUGCAAGGCUUGAGUGCGGCAGAGGGGGAUGGAAUUCCGCGUGUAGCGUGAAAUGCGUAGAUAUGCGGAGGAACACCGAUGGCGAAGGCAAUUCCCCUGGGCCUGCACUGACGCUCAUGCACGAAAGCGUGGGGAGCAAACAGGAUUAGAUA
rnacentral:rRNA from 1 species